CCUGGGAAGAGAUAGAAGGCGUGACCUUGUUGGUGUGGCCUUAUUGAAGGAAAUGUCCCUGGGAAUGGGUCAUUGAAGUUUCAAAAGCUAGACCCUGGCCAGGGUCUUUCUCUUCCUGCCGCGCUCCCUCAGAACUGGCUGAAGAACACUAGCUACUUCUCCAGCUGCGUGCCGCCAUGUUCCCUGUCAUGGGGAUAAAGGGACUAAAUCCCUCUGAAACGGAGCAGCGCUGUUUUCUGUGGACCCUUGUCUAGUUGUGGCGGUUGCUGGGAAAGAUGAAGUCCCCAGACUGGAGCUCAGGCUGCAAAGAGGCUGGCAUGAAGCGAGAUGCCCCUUCUAGGCCAAGGCAAGAUCUGCUGCCCUCUGACUUCUACCUGUUGCUGAGAUGACUUCUGUCGCCAAGGCACCUGGAUACCGAGCCACUCCUUGACAAAAGCCCUCUCCAGCCUGCGUGGACCUCGCGUGAGAGAAGUCUAGGUGGCUGUGGGCAGCCCACAGGCUUCCGUUGCCGCUGCGUUACAGCUUGUCGUCUUAAUCUUGAAAUGAGACCUGGUUCACUUGAUCUCAUUAAUAAAAGGUCUGUGCUCCCCCUAGUCAUAAAAACACGCCACCCUCCUGUU
rnacentral:lncRNA from 1 species